rnacentral:rRNA from 1 species
GAGGACUAGGGUAAUGAUUAAUAGGGAUAGUUGGGGGCAUUAAUAUUUAAUUGUCAGAGGUGAAAUUCUUGGAUUUAUGAAAGAUUAACUUCUGCGAAAGCAUCUGCCAAGGAUGUUUUCAUUAAUCAAGAACGAAAGUUAGGGGAUCGAAGACGAUCAGAUACCGUCGUAGUCUUAACCAUAAACGAUGCCGACCAGCGAUUAGGAGACGUUGAAUACAAAACACCACCAUCGGCGCGGUCGUCCUUGGCGUCUCGGUCCUUCACGGGGCCGGGGCGCGGGGGCGGCUUAGCCCGGUGGCACCGGUGAAUGACUCCCCUAGCAGCUUGUGAG